UCCUUCGCCGCUGCCCGUGCUAAUCUACCCGGGAGAGGGCAGCGUGCCGGGGAAGUCGAGCCCUCCUGCAGGGCCCGGCCUCGUCCCGCAAGGGGGCCCGUCCCCUUGACCAGGCACUGCCCUGUGAUCUGGGACGGAGCCUUGGGGAAAAGACACCCUCAGUGACCGUGUUUAGGGAAAUGAGCGGGAGCAAGACACGCCACCAGCCAGCAAGACCGCCCAGGGAAACAGUCGCCUGACGAAUAUGCCAUCUAUUUUGGAUCCAUUACUAGAGAUGGUGAUCCCCAGCUGCCCUGAGGCUGAAGAAGUGAGGACCCUUAAGCCACAGCCUAAAAGGACUAAAAGCCUAAAAAUGUGGGGGUUUGGAGAUUGAGGAUGCUUCCAUCUUGUGCUACCACUAUCUUGGGUGCAUGACUUCAGAUCACAGCCAAAACGCAAGAGAGAGCUACAUAAUAUUCCCAGAAGAGAUAUGAACGUGAAGGGGAAAGUGGUUUUCAUCAUUUUCUUCCACUUCACAUUAGAUAGAACUGUUCAUGUGGUCCCAAGUUAAUUACAAGGAAGUCUUGCGAAUAUGAUCUCCCUGUGUGCCAAGGAAAAGGAAAUGGUUUUGUGAAUAUCUAACCAUUUUCUAACACACUCUACCCUUUUGACCAUUAAUUAUCAAUUUUACUUGUCCUUUAUUACAUAUAAUAUACUCACUGCCUCGCCAAAGAAGAAAAAGCAAAGUCCUUUCCAGUGACUGCAUCAAGUUCCACAUGCAGUAUAUUUAGCAAGGCGCAGUCCUCUCCAAAAGUUGAGCUAUGAUUUCUUUUAUAUUGGUGACCUAUUAACUAAACGAAAAUGUUCCUUAGCUGCCUCCCCCCACCUUCCACCUCCACGCACUAUGCCCAGUGGUGGAGCAUAGAAAGAACAGAAUUUUCCGUUCAGAAAGAGAAAGAAUAGAAGACAUACAGUGGAAGCUGUGUCCUUACAAUUCUGAAAUCCCAAUGGAAAGACUUUUUGAAAGUCCACCACCUUGAGUAUGGGGGGAUGGGGAUGUUACCUAAAUCAGGCAUCCUUUCCCUAGAAGGAUUUGUUUUUUCUCUUUUCUCCAUGGCCCCUUGAUUUACCCCCUGGGGUAAAUCCUCUUAGUUCUCUACUCUCCCUGGCUACAUCUGAAGUAAGCAUUAGUGAGAAUACUUUCACUGGGGCUGUAAACCUCCAAAGGGGGUCUCUCAUUUUCAUAGAAACUUGGGAGUUCAAGGUUUUACUAUCAUUCUUUUUGUUGUUGUUAAGUCAGAAACAUUCAAAAACUUUAGUUCAAAUUUGUGAUUUUUUUCCAAUAAAAUUCUAUCAAACCAA